rnacentral:tRNA from 1 species
GCGGGUAUGGCGGAACUGGCAGACGCACCAGAUUUAGGUUCUGGCGGAGUGAUCCAUGCAGGUUCGAUUCCUGUUACCCGUACCA